GGCGGGCGGGCCGAGCGGAGCCGAGCGGAGCCGAGCGGAGCCGAGCCGGGCCGAGCCGGGCCGGGCCGGGCCGGGCCCAGGAGCGCGGGCGAUGAGGGCGGCCAGAGCAGAAGCGCCCGGGCCCUGAACUCGCGCCGGCCUCAAGGGAGCCGGCCGGCAUGGCCGGGGUCAGCUACGCGGCGCCCUGGUGGGUGGGCCUGCUGCACCGGCUGCCCCGCUUCGACCUGCGCUGGGAGGCCACCAGCAGCCAGUUCCGGCCCGAGGACACCGACUACCAGCAGGCCCUGCUGCUGCUGGGGGCCACGGCGCUGGCUUGCCUGGCGCUGGACCUGCUUUUCCUGCUCCUCUACUCGUGCUGGCUGUGCUGCCGCCGCCGCAAAACAGACGAACACCUGGACGCAGACUGCUGCUGCACAGCCUGGUGUGUCAUCAUCGCCACGCUGGUGUGCAGCGCUGGCAUCGCGGUGGGCUUCUAUGGCAAUGGGGAGACCAGUGACGGCGUCCACCGGGCCACCUACUCCCUGCGCCACGCCAACCGCACAGUCGCUGGGGUCCAGGACCGAGUAUGGGACACUGGGGCAUCCCUGAACCACUCGGCAGAGCCUAGCCUGCAGAGCCUGGAGCGGCAGCUGGCCACGCGCCCCGAGCCCCUGCGUGCCGUCCAGCGACUCCAAGGGCUGCUGCAGACGCUAGUGGGACACACGGCCGCCAUCCCCUUCUGGAGGAACUCGGGCGUGUCUCUGGACGCCCUGGCCCAGCAGGUGGAUCUCUAUGACUGGUACAGGUGGCUAGGUUACCUGGGGCUGCUGCUCUUGGAUGUGGCCAUCUGCCUGCUGGUGCUGGUUGGACUCAUCCGAAGCUCCAAGGGUAUCCUGGUCGGGGUCUGCCUGCUGGGCGUCCUGGCCCUGGUCAUCAGCUGGGCCACGCUGGGCUUGGAGGUAGCCGUGUCUGUGGGCUUCAGCGACUUCUGUGUGGAUCCGGACACGUACGUGACCAGGAUGGUGGAGGAGCACUCUGUGCUGAGCAGGGACAUCCUGCAGUACUACCUGGCCUGCUCUGCCCGCGCCGCCAACCCCUUCCAGCAGAAGCUGUCACGCAGCCACAAGGCACUGGUGGAGAUGCAAGAUGUGGUGGCCAAGCUGCUGCGGACGGUGCCCCAGGAGAGCCCGGCCAGCAAGGACCCCCUGCUGCGCGUGCAGGAGGUGCUGAACGGCACGGAGGUGAACCUGCAGCAACUCACAGCCCUGGUGGACUGUCGCAGCCUCCACCUGGACUACGUGCAGGCCCUGACCGGAUUCUGCUACGAUGGCGUGGAGGGUCUCAUCUACCUGGCCCUCUUCUCCUUUGUCACCGCCCUCAUGUUCAGCUCCAUCGUCUGCAGUGUCCCCCACACCUGGCAGCAGAAGAGGGGCCCGGAGGAGGACGGGGAGGACGAGGCACGGGGCCCCCGGCAGCCCCACGACAGCCUGUACCGCGUGCACAUGCCCAGCCUGUACAGCUGUGGCAGCAGCUAUGGCAGUGAGAGCAGCAUUCCCGCCGCGCCCCACACCGUCAGCAACGCGCCUGUCACGGAGUACAUGAGCCAGACCACCAACUUCCAGAACCCUCGCUGUGAGAACACCCCCCUCAUCGGGCGUGAGUCCCCGCCACCCUCAUGCCCAGGACCCUGGCGGCCAGGCGGGCUGGCCUUUUAAGCCCACGGACAGUGCCGGGUGGCCAGGGUGGCCAGGCCCGCAGAGUGACAGUACACUUCCAGCAUGAGGGCUAAAUACCUCGCCACGAGCCAGCCUCGCCCCGACUCCAGUGGAAGCGGCCACUAGCCACCCGCCAGCCCGACUGCCGCGUGCCAACACCCCACUCCAUGCAGCUCGGACAGCCCCGCCCGCCUCCCCCCUUUCCCACAGGGCAUGGAGACCCGCACCCUGACUCGGCCCACUCCUAGAUGCUUCGUUCCCCCCUCAUCCCACAGCACGCUGGCCUUGAACCCGUCUACAGCUUCCUCCCCGCAGCCCCCACGAACAUCCGUGGCUUCUCAGCCCACAGGUCCCUUCUGCAGGCUCCAGUGAGGGAGCGCCCCCUCUCCCUCCCCACCUCGCUCUCCACACAGCACCCCUGCCCACCCCUUGCAGGUGGAGGCAGCUGGAGCCCCACCCUCUCGGUGCCAAACAUCCCCCCCCCCCCGCCUGACCCUAACCUGAUUUGUCACCUGCAGGGCUGCAGUACUGGCUGUUCCCCACCCCCCCAUUCCCUUUGCAGCUGGACAGGCCAUACCUGGAGCCUGGUUGAGCUGACCAUGAUACAUACACACACACACACACACCCAGGACUAACCACUGCCCUGCCCUCCCCACCCUGGGCCUCCAGGUGGGAGAAGGGCUGAAGGAGCCACUUUCUGGGUGCUGGGGGUGGGGGGACUCUGUGACUCAGAGUGAGCGUCCCUGGGGCCCACCCCCACCCCCCUGUGACAGAUGCCCCGAAGGUGCUCUUGGCAUUAGUGUACAAUGUUUGCUGUGUCCUGAUUGGGUGGGGGUGGGGGCUCCCCACUCAGGACGCGGGCCUGGUGUUUGAAGCCGGGCCCACGGGGACUCCCCCUCCGGGGGACCCCCCUUUUCUCUGUGCUGGUGUCUGGGACCAAAAGGAUAAGUGGCCACUGGCUGGGUGCCCCAAUCCUGGGCACAGCCUCUGACCUGGGAGGAGAUGGAGAUGGGCAACUCAGGGGUGUCCUGGGGCCCAGUUAGGCCUCGGUUCCCCUGGGGGGCACUGUGACCCAGACCCCCAUGGGGUGUCGGCCCCCCCAGAAGCACAAGGCCACCUCAAUGUGAAUGUAUAUAGCAUUAGAGGCCCAGCCUGCCCAAGGCCGGCAGGGGACAGGGUGCAAGCCCCAGCCUCCCUGGUGGGGUGGGGUGGGCUGUUUUCUCCUCUUAAGUUUUCGGGGUCUCCUUCCUAGCCACUGUAAUCUCAGACCCCCACUCCCAUAUCCACUGACCCCCCAGGGCAGCAAGGGCUAGGUUAGCAGGGAGAUGAGGGCCAGCUGGGACAGAACCCUCAGCUGGGAGGCAGGUGGGGGAGGGUGGAGAAUGCCCUAACUGGCCUGCCAUCCUACCCCACCUCACUAUGCAAUUCUGGUCCAAACCCCCCUUCUGUCCACAGGAGCCGGGUCCAGUCCCUGGGGGUGGGGGUGACCCCUGGCCCCUCUGGGUUGUGGCAUGGGGCAGGGAACCAGAGCUUGUGAAUGGGGGUUUUGUUUUGUUUGCACCUGAGGUGUGUCACCACUUUCUGUACAUCACAUAGAAUGCCUACCAUUCUGCCCCCUCUCCGCGCCCACCCUGACCCUGGGGCUGAGGCGGAGGCUGUCCCAACCUACCCAGGACCCUGUCUCUAUGUGCUGUCGCUGUGGGUUUUUUUUUUUUCUUCUUUUUUUUAAACUGGGCUGGGGGUUGGGUUCUCAUUCUUGGGGGCUGAAGGCGGGGGGGGGGCUUUAUUUUUCUUGGCAAAUACUGAGAAGACCUCGUCCGUGUAAUUUCUGUGGUUUCUAUUCAGUUUGGGUAUCAUGUUUUAAAAUAAAAUUGUUUUGAAAAGCA